UACAGAGGGUGCAAGCGUUAAUCGGAAUUACUGGCGUAAAGCGCGCGUAGGUGGUUCGUUAAGUUGGAUGUGAAAUCCCCGGGCUCAACCUGGGAACUGCAUUCAAAACUGUCGAGCUAGAGUAUGGUAGAGGGUGGUGGAAUUUCCUGUGUAGCGGUGAAAUGCGUAGAUAUAGGAAGGAACACCAGUGGCGAAGGCGACCACCUGGACUGAUACUGACACUGAGGUGCGAAAGCGUGGGGAGCAAACAGG
rnacentral:rRNA from 1 species